rnacentral:rRNA from 1 species
AGUGAACGCUAGCGACGUGGCUAAGACAUGCAAGUCGAGCGUGAUUCAAAUUUGGGUAACCAAAUAAGAUGAAAGCGGCAAACGGGUGCGUAACACGUGAGUAACCUGCCCUUAAGUUGAGGAUAGCCCAUCGAAAGGUGGAUUAAUACUGAAUGUGGUACCUAGUCUCCUGACUAGAGUACUAAAGCUUGUAAUGGCGCUUAAGGAGGGGCUCGCGGCCUAUCAGCUAGUUGGUGAGGUAAUGGCUCACCAAGGCUAAGACGGGUAGCUGGUCUGAGAGGAUGAUCAGCCACACUGGAACUGAGAACGGUCCAGACACCUACGGGUGGCAGCAGUUUCGAAUCAUUCACAAUGGGCGAAAGCCUGAUGGUGCGACGUCGCGUGGGGGAUGAAGGUCUUCGGAUUGUAAACCCCUGUCAUCAAGGAGCAAAAACUAGGCUCAUACCCUAGCUUGAGUUAACUUGAAGAGGAAGUGGUGGCAAACUCUGUGCCAGCAGCCGCAGUAAUAC